AAAUUGAAGAGUUUGAUCAUGGCUCAGAUUGAACGCUGGCGGCAGGCCUAACACAUGCAAGUCGAACGGUAACAGGAAGCAGCUUGCUGCUUUGCUGACGAGUGGCGGACGGGUGAGUAAUGUCUGGGAAACUGCCUGAUGGAGGGGGAUAACUACUGGAAACGGUGGCUAAUACCGCAUAACGUCGCAAGACCAAAGAGGGGGACCUUCGGGCCUCUUGCCAUCAGAUGUGCCCAGAUGGGAUUAGCUAGUUGGUGAGGUAACGGCUCACCAAGGCGACGAUCCCUAGCUGGUCUGAGAGGAUGACCAGCCACACUGGAACUGAGACACGGUCCAGACUCCUACGGGAGGCAGCAGUGGGGAAUAUUGCACAAUGGGCGCAAGCCUGAUGCAGCCAUGCCGCGUGUAUGAAGAAGGCCUUCGGGUUGUAAAGUACUUUCAGCGGGGAGGAAGGUGUUGUGGUUAAUAACCGCAGCAAUUGACGUUACCCGCAGAAGAAGCACCGGCUAACUCCGUGCCAGCAGCCGCGGUAAUACGGAGGGUGCAAGCGUUAAUCGGAAUUACUGGGCGUAAAGCGCACGCAGGCGGUCUGUCAAGUCGGAUGUGAAAUCCCCGGGCUCAACCUGGGAACUGCAUUCGAAACUGGCAGGCUUGAGUCUUGUAGAGGGGGGUAGAAUUCCAGGUGUAGCGGUGAAAUGCGUAGAGAUCUGGAGGAAUACCGGUGGCGAAGGCGGCCCCCUGGACAAAGACUGACGCUCAGGUGCGAAAGCGUGGGGAGCAAACAGGAUUAGAUACCCUGGUAGUCCACGCCGUAAACGAUGUCUACUUGGAGGUUGUGCCCUUGAGGCGUGGCUUCCGGAGCUAACGCGUUAAGUAGACCGCCUGGGGAGUACGGCCGCAAGGUUAAAACUCAAAUGAAUUGACGGGGGCCCGCACAAGCGGUGGAGCAUGUGGUUUAAUUCGAUGCAACGCGAAGAACCUUACCUGGUCUUGACAUCCACAGAAGAAUCCAGAGAUGGAUUUGUGCCUUCGGGAACUGUGAGACAGGUGCUGCAUGGCUGUCGUCAGCUCGUGUUGUGAAAUGUUGGGUUAAGUCCCGCAACGAGCGCAACCCUUAUCCUUUGUUGCCAGCGGUCCGGCCGGGAACUCAAAGGAGACUGCCAGUGAUAAACUGGAGGAAGGUGGGGAUGACGUCAAGUCAUCAUGGCCCUUACGACCAGGGCUACACACGUGCUACAAUGGCGCAUACAAAGAGAAGCGACCUCGCGAGAGCAAGCGGACCUCAUAAAGUGCGUCGUAGUCCGGAUUGGAGUCUGCAACUCGACUCCAUGAAGUCGGAAUCGCUAGUAAUCGUGGAUCAGAAUGCCACGGUGAAUACGUUCCCGGGCCUUGUACACACCGCCCGUCACACCAUGGGAGUGGGUUGCAAAAGAAGUAGGUAGCUUAACCUUCGGGAGGGCGCUUACCACUUUGUGAUUCAUGACUGGGGUGAAGUCGUAACAAGGUAACCGUAGGGGAACCUGCGGUUGGAUCACCUCCUUA
rnacentral:rRNA from 5 species